CUGCUGUUAGAUUGUGUGUCCUAGUAACAUCAUAGGUUACACCUGUAAAAUCUCACCAUCAUGACUGCCCAAAUGCCUUUCUGUUUCAAAGACGGGAGUGUAUUCCUGCAGACUGGAACAUUCUGGUUAACAGUUCAACAAGAUAGAAGAAAGGAAGAAAGGGAGAAAAAAAGAAAAAAGAAAGGAAGAAAGGAAGGAAGGAAGGAAGGAAGGAAGGAAAAGAAAGAAGGAAGAAGCAAGCAAGCUUGAAUCAUGUGAAUGAAUAUUCUAAAGUAUGUAAGAAUUCAUUAAGAUGAAAAUAAACUACUAAACCAAAAUUCA